GGGCCCGUGGUGUAAUGGUAGCACGUCGGGCUAGGAAUGAACUCCCUAGCUGGAAGCGUUGGUUCGAACCCUUCCGGGUCCA
rnacentral:tRNA from 1 species